UUAAGUUAAUAAGGGCGCACGGUGGAUGCCUUGGCACUAGAAGCCGAUGAAGGACGUGACUAACGACGAAAUGCUUUGGGGAGCUGUAAGUAAGCAUUGAUCCAGAGAUGUCCGAAUGGGGGAACCCGGCAACUAAUGGUUGUCACUCAUUACUGUUAAGGUAAUGUAGAGGAAGACGCAGUGAACUGAAACAUCUAAGUAGCUGCAGGAAGAGAAAGCAAAAGCGAUUGCCUUAGUAGCGGCGAGCGAAACGGCAAGAGGGCAAACCGAAGAGUUUACUCUUCGGGGUUGUAGGACUGCAACGUGGACUUAAAGAUUAUAGAAGAACUACCUGGGAAGGUAGGCCAAAGAGAGUAAUAGCCUCGUAUUCGAAAUAGUCUUUAUACCUAGCAGUAUCCUGAGUACGGCGAGACACGAGAAAUCUCGUCGGAAUCUGGGAGGACCAUCUCCUAACCCUAAAUACUCUCUAGUGACCGAUAGUGAACCAGUACCGUGAGGGAAAGGUGAAAAGCACCCCGGGAGGGGAGUGAAAUAGAACCUGAAACCGUGUGCCUACAACAAGUUCGAGCCCGUUAAUGGGUGAGAGCGUGCCUUUUGUAGAAUGAACCGGCGAGUUACGAUAUGAUGCGAGGUUAAGUUGAAGAGACGGAGCCGUAGGGAAACCGAGUCUUAAUAGGGCGCAUUAGUAUCAUGUCGUAGACCCGAAACCAUGUGACCUACCCAUGAGCAGGUUGAAGGUGAGGUAAAACUCACUGGAGGACCGAACCAGGGCACGUUGAAAAGUGCUUGGAUGACUUGUGGGUAGCGGAGAAAUUCCAAACGAACUUGGAGAUAGCUGGUUCUCUCCGAAAUAGCUUUAGGGCUAGCGUCGAUGUUAAGUCUCUUGGAGGUAGAGCACUGUUUGGGUGAGGGGUCCAUCCCGGAUUACCAAUCUCAGAUAAACUCCGAAUGCCAACGAGAUAUAAUCGGCAGUCAGACUGCGAGUGCUAAGAUCCGUAGUCGAAAGGGAAACAGCCCAGACCACCAGCUAAGGUCCCAAAAUAUAUGUUAAGUGGAAAAGGAUGUGGGGUUGCACAGACAACUAGGAUGUUAGCUUAGAAGCAGCUAUUCAUUCAAAGAGUGCGUAAUAGCUCACUAGUCGAGUGACCCUGCGCCGAAAAUGUACCGGGGCUAAAACAUAUUACCGAAGCUGUGGAUACCUUUAUAGGUAUGGUAGGAGAGCGUUCUAUGUGCGAAGAAGGUGUACCGUGAGGAGUGCUGGAGCGCAUAGAAGUGAGAAUGCCGGUAUGAGUAGCGAAAGACAGGUGAGAAUCCUGUCCACCGUAAGACUAAGGUUUCCAGGGGAAGGCUCGUCCGCCCUGGGUUAGUCGGGACCUAAGGAGAGACCGAAAGGUGUAUCCGAUGGACAACAGGUUGAUAUUCCUGUACUAGAGUAUAUAGUGAUGGAGGGACGCAGUAGGCUAACUAAACCAGACGAUUGGAAGUGUCUGGCCAAGCAGUGAGGUGUGAUAUGAGUCAAAUGCUUAUAUCUAUAACAUUGAGCUGUGAUGGGGAGCGAAGUUUAGUAGCGAAGUUAGUGAUGUCACACUGCCGAGAAAAGCUUCUAGCGUUAAUUAUACUCUACCCGUACCGCAAACCGACACAGGUAGUCGAGGCGAGUAGCCUCAGGUGAGCGAGAGAACUCUCGUUAAGGAACUCGGCAAAAUGACCCCGUAACUUCGGGAGAAGGGGUGCUCAUUAGGGUGCAUAGCCCUGAUGAGCCGCAGUGAAUAGGCCCAGGCGACUGUUUAGCAAAAACACAGGUCUCUGCGAAGCCGCAAGGCGAAGUAUAGGGGCUGACGCCUGCCCGGUGCUGGAAGGUUAAGAGGAGAGGUUAGCGCAAGCGAAGCUUUGAAUCGAAGCCCCAGUAAACGGCGGCCGUAACUAUAACGGUCCUAAGGUAGCGAAAUUCCUUGUCGGGUAAGUUC
rnacentral:rRNA from 1 species